rnacentral:rRNA from 1 species
GACGAACGCUGGCGGUGUGCUUAACACAUGCAAGUGGUGCGACGAACCAGAGCUUGCUCUUGUGCAAAGCCGCGAACGGGUGAGUAACACGUGGGUAAUCUACCCCCAUGACCGGGACAACCCGAUUAAACUCGGGCUAAUACCUGAUGUGGUGCAUAGACAUAAGUCUCUUCACUAAAUGUAGCUUCGUCUUCCUCAUUGGUAUGGGCCCUCGGCCCAUUAGCUUGUUGGUGGGUUCAAGGCCUACCAAGGCAACGAUGGGUAGCUGGUCUGAGAGGACGAUCAGCCACACUGGGACUGAGACACGGCCCAGACUCCUACGGGAGGCAGCAGUGGGGAAUCUUGCGCAAUGGGCGAAAGCGUGACGCAGCAACACCGCGUGAGGGAAGAAGGCCUUAGGGUUGUAAACCUCUUUCAGAUGGGAAGAAAGUUUUCCGGUGAAUAGCCGAGAGGAUUGACGGUACCGUCAGAAGAAGCCCCGGCUAACUACGUG